UACGUAGGGGGCGAGCGUUGUCCGGAAUUACUGGGCGUAAAGGGUGUGUAGGCGGUCUGGUAAGUUGGAUGUGAAAAGCCCGGGCUUAACCUGGGAGGUGCAUCCAAUACUGUUGGACUAGAGUGCAGGAGAGGAAAGCGGAAUUCCUAGUGUAGCGGUGAAAUGCGUAGAUAUUAGGAGGAACACCAGUGGCGAAGGCGGCUUUCUGGACUGUAACUGACGCUGAGGCACGAAAGCGUGGGGAGCAAACAGGAUUAGAUACCCUGGUAGUCCACGCUGUAAACGAUGAAUACUAGGUGUAGGGGGUAUCAACUCCCCCUGUGCCGGAGCAAACGCAAUAAGUAUUCCGCCUGGGGAGUACGGCCGCAAGGUUGAA
rnacentral:rRNA from 1 species